rnacentral:tRNA from 1 species
CGCAUAGCUCAGUUGGUAGAGCAGUGGCCUCUUAAGCCAACGGUCGCAGGUUCGAUCCCUGCUGCGCCCACACCA